GAUGAACGCUAGCGGCAGGCCUAAUACAUGCAAGUCGAACGGUGUCUUCGGACAUAGUGGCGCACGGGUGCGUAUCACGUAUGCAACCUACCUUACAUUGGGGGAUAGCCUUUCGAAAGGGAGAUUAAUACCGCAUAAGACAGUAGCUGGGCAUCCAGCAGCUGUUAAAGAUUUAUCGAUGUAAGCUGGGCAUGCGUCCAAUUAGCUAGUUGGUGAGGUAACGGCUCACCAAGGCAAUGAUUGGUAGGGGAACUGAGAGGUCAAUCCCCCACACUGGCACUGAGAUACGGGCCAGACUCCUACGGGAGGCAGCAGUAGGGAAUAUUGGGCAAUGGACGCAAGUCUGACCCAGCCAUGCCGCGUGCAGGAUGAAGGCGUUAUGCGUUGUAAACUGCCUUUAUACAGGAAGAAACGACUCUUGCGAGAGGCAUUGACGGUACUGUAUGAAUAAGCACCGGCUAACUCCGUGCCAGCAGCCGCCGUAAGAC
rnacentral:rRNA from 1 species